UACGUAGGUGGCAAGCGAUACUCGGAAUCACUAGGCGUAAAGCGCAGGUAGGCGGUUCGGUAAGUCUUUUGUGAAAGCUCCUGGCUCAACUGGGAGAGGUCAAGGGAAACUGCCGGGCUAGAGUUUGGUAGGGGAUACUGGAAUUCCUGGUGUAGCGGUGAAAUGCGUAGAUAUCAGGAGGAAUACCUAUGGCGAAGGCGGAUCUCUGGGCCAUUACUGACGCUGAGGAGCGAAAGCGUGGGGAGCGAACAGG
rnacentral:rRNA from 1 species